rnacentral:rRNA from 1 species
GGUUAAGCGAAUAAGCGUACACGGUGGAUGCCUAGGCAAUCAGAGGCGAUGAAGGACGUGCUAAUCUGCGAAAAGCGUCGGUAAGGUGAUAUGAACCGCUAUACCCGA